AUGUCAGUUUCAGAUACGAACCUUCAUAAUGGAGAAAAGCCCAUCUCCGAAAUUACCGACGCGGAACUCGCCGAAAAGCAUGGUCAUAUGAAGUUAGUAUGCUCACAGACAAGGUUCGUAAAAACCAUGAAACUGUUGUCACAAGACCACAAAAAGUACAUCAUAUCAGAAACCAGUCUUGGCGGUCUAACCCAGAUGCAUGAAGUGACUCUACGGCGCAUAAUGUUGGUUAGACUAGCCAAGAGCAUAGAUAUGGACACGCAAUCCAUUAGCAUCGGUAAAACGCCAAUUCCUAUAACAAAAGAGGACGUGCAAGGUAUAUUUGGCAUUCCGAUAGAAGGGGAGGAUAUAGAGCCACAUCUGGAAAUGCAAACUGACACAGAAUUGUUUACCGCCUAUGCAAACAAUGGGCAAAUUUUGAUUUCUAACCUUGAAACGGCGAUCCGAGCCUCCAAAGCCCCAGACGGCGAUUUCCUGAGACGGUUCAUUCUGUACGCAAUUGGUACUGUUCUAGCACCAACAACACAACAUUAUGUGCACUCGAAAUUUCUCAACCUUGUUACAGAUCUUGAAAACCUUCGGAAAUUUAACUGGGGAUGUUUCACACUUAAUCACUUCUUCAAGUCCAUUCACAAGUUUAGAAAUCGAGAUCAUGUAAAUCUACAAGGAAAUCUAAUUCUGCUCCAGUAUUGGUACUGGGAGCACGUGCGUAGUGGUCGAUUAAUGUAUGCUUCUAGACCCCCUCCAUUGAUCGCACGAUGGGACGAAAUGAUGGCUACUUUAAGAAGCGAUGCUUACGAGAAAGGAGGUCUUCAUAACGGGUUGAUUGAAAUGGUAGUUGAAGUCAUGAAUGCACGCAUUGUUGAUCAUGAAAAUAAGGUAGGCAGAAAGUUAAUGGAAAUGGAGCACAGAUUUGAUGUCAAAUACCAGACUCUAGGUGAAGACUUGAUCGACAUGAAGACUAAAACUGGCACUAAUCCUAGGUUGUCGAAGGCCGAGGAUGAAAUUAAAGACUUAAGGAGGGAACUCCAUGAAUUAAAAUACGAAUUUACAAGCAACCGACAAUCAGUGUCACAGAAAGGACGCGUGCAGGUGAUCAAUAUGGCCCAACACGUCAAUAUCUAA
rnacentral:rRNA from 1 species